GUUUGAUCAUGGCUCAGGAUGAACGCUAGCGGCAGGCCUAACACAUGCAAGUCGAGGGGUAUAGUUCUUCGGAACUAGAGACCGGCGCACGGGUGCGUAACGCGUAUGCAAUCUACCUUUUACAGGGGAAUAGCCCAGAGAAAUUUGGAUUAAUGCCCCAUAGUGUUAUAGAAUCGCAUGGUUUUAUAACUAAAGUUCCAACGGUAAAAGAUGAGCAUGCGUCCCAUUAGUUAGUUGGUAAGGUAACGGCUUACCAAGACAAUGAUAGGUAGGGGUCCUGAGAGGGAGAUCCCCCACACUGGUACUGAGACACGGACCAGACUCCUACGGGAGGCAGCAGUGAGGAAUAUUGGACAAUGGGCGCAAGCCUGAUCCAGCCAUGCCGCGUGCAGGAAGACGGUCCUAUGGAUUGUAAACUGCUUUUGUACAGGAAGAAACACUCCCUCGUGAGGGAGCUUGACGGUACUGUAAGAAUAAGGAUCGGCUAACUCCGUG
rnacentral:rRNA from 1 species